AAUCUGUUUCAGGGCGAGGCGAAAUUCCUCACUGGCGGUGAUAAGCGUAUGCUGCGAGUCCGCGAGCUCUGCGCGUCAGGGCAGAAUGGGUGGGAACCCCAUACCAACGGUAUAGUCCGGAUGAAAGAAACAAAAA
rnacentral:ncRNA from 2 species